GCGACAAGUCAUGAGACUGAGAUUUGCUUUCUGAGUCAGGGAGGAGAGCGGCAUUUCAACGCCUCUGAAUGCAAAGUGGAACAACCCGGGUUUGGAAGUCAGCUCGGCUUGCGAGAGACAAGCGCUGCCAGCUGCAGCCGAGCCGAGCCGAGCCGGGCAGGGGCGAGGAUCCAGCGCCUCCAGCCCCGCACACGCCCAGCGCCCGGCGGGGCGGCAGAGCUCCGGGUUGGCAUCCCCCAUUCAUGGAUGGAUUAUUAGCGCAGUGUGAUGGGCGGCCAGGAUCUUCCAAUCAGUCUCUCCCCUUCCUAUGCAGAUUUCAUUAUGUUUUACAAGGCAGGCUGGCCCAGAUGGAGAGCACGAGCGAUCUUUGGAAACGAAUCUUAAUAAGCUACAAUGUUAACUUAUAUAUAUAUAUAUGUAUAUAAGUUAACAUAAGCCGGAUAUAUAUAUAUAUAUAUAUAUAUAUAUAUAUAUAUAUAUAUAUAAUAGAUGUGGAGCCCACCCGCCACUGCCUGCCUGGCCAAAAUCAACACAGAAGCAAGUAUUAGAGAAGGCAAAUCGCCACGGGCUUGGACUGGAAAAGGACACGAGAUGUUUCUUUCCAAAACUGGAUGGAGGAAAAAAACCAAACCAAACCAAACCAAACCUACAACCCCCACCCCCAAGCACCCCCAGUAUCUGCUCUCCCCGCGGUGCCUUGGAUCGGGACAAACAGCUCCUCCGCGCCCCGCCGGGGUCACCGCACACAACCCGCCGCCCAGUCCCCCGGGUUGGUUCAUGCACCAUUUUAGCGCGCAGCAGCCCGAGAAAGGAGGCCCGGGACCCAUUCCAAUUUGCAUCUGAAUCAAGACGGAGGUGGGAAGUGGAGAUCAAAGGCUCGACUGCUUGUGGGCCACCCUGACACCUGCCGCUGCGCCCCGCGGAGGUUCAGCCUAUUUCCCUGCAGACAAGGAGCUGCUGCCUCCCGGGGAAGCGGGGGUCCUUUGCAGGGACAGAAAGGGCCGAUCGCUUCUCUGCGUUCAGGAUGGGGACUGCUCUAAACGUCUCCGACUCCCUAAUGCAAUAUUUAGCUCGCAUUAAAACAAUAGCAAAUCAAUAAAAAGCAAGGGUUUAUAA